CGGUGAGGCAUGAUGUAGCGGCUUCCAUAGAAAGUAUCUAGAGGUGUCAAGGACCCUAGUAUUGGAAAGCUUGUGAGAGGAUCUCCAUAAGAGAUUUUGAGAGAGCUUUUGUGAGGAUAGCUUCUAAUUGAAAGAGGUGUGUAUACAGAGAGUUGAGAGUGUGUAUUCUUCUCUUGUAUUGUUUAUUUGUCCUAGUAAAGCUUGCAUGCCCCAUGGAGGC
rnacentral:lncRNA from 1 species